CAUACCUGAUGAAAAAUUAGAAGAUAACGCUACUUUUUUCUGAUAUUUUAUCAGCUGGAAUGUGGUUAAUGAAGAAUGGAAGGAACUAGACCUUCAGAAAACUGCUCUUCUUGAAAGGAUGAAAAAAGUGUUGCACAGGACAUCUUUCUGCCGGUCAAAAAUGUUGGGAGUGAAGUGCUGGUUUGUUCUUCCAAGAGACUGGAGAGUGACCAAGCUCAGAAGAAUUCCUCUUGUGAUAAUUCAGAAUUUUUGCAUGGAUAGAAAUUGGGGCCCUUUCUUCAGCUGUACUCAAAGUUGGAAAGAACAUCUGCAUUUACUGAGGAAAUUCAACUAACUCAUGGCUGUGACAGUAAUGUGUAUUUUGUGUGCAGGCUGUUCCUUCAUUGCCUGGUGUUGGUAAGUGUCUGAUAAUUUGCCUUCCUUGCUCUCUGAUGCUUGGGAACUCUUUCCCCUCUAGAACAACUA
rnacentral:lncRNA from 12 species